CCUACGGGUGGCAGCAGUGAGGAAUAUUGGUCAAUGGGCGCGAGCCUGAACGAGCAAUGCCGCGUGAACGAGGAAGGUCUUCGGAUCGUAAAGUUCUGUUGAAGGGGAAAAAGAGCGGAGCGAGGAAAUGGUCUCCGAUUGAUAUUACCCUUCGAGGAAGUCACGGCUAACUACGUGCCAGCAGCCGCGGUAAUACGUAGGUGGCGAGCGUUAUCCGGAAUGAUUGGGGGUAAAGGGUGCGUAGGCGGACUGCUAAGUCUGGGGUGAAAGGGACCGGCACAACCGGUACAGGCUGUGGAAACUGGCGGGCUAGAGAGCAGGAGAGGUCGGUGGAA
rnacentral:rRNA from 1 species